UCGUAANAAGNUCUCNGUAGGUGNACNUGCGGAGGGAUCAUUACACAAAUAUGAAGGCGGGCUGGAAUCUCUCGGGGUUACAGCCUUGCUGAAUUAUUCACCCUUGUCUUUUGCGUACUUCUUGUUUCCUUGGUGGGUUCGCCCACCACUAGGACAAACAUAAACCUUUUGUAAUUGCAAUCAGCGUCAGUAACAAAUUAAUAAUUACAACUUUCAACAACGGAUCUCUUGGUUCUGGCAUCGAUGAAGAACGCAGCGAAAUGCGAUAAGUAGUGUGAAUUGCAGAAUUCAGUGAAUCAUCGAAUCUUUGAACGCACAUUGCGCCCUUUGGUAUUCCAAAGGGCAUGCCUGUUCGAGCGUCAUUUGUACCCUCAAGCUUUGCUUGGUGUUGGGCGUCUUGUCUCUAGCUUUGCUGGAGACUCGCCUUAAAGUAAUUGGCAGCCGGCCUACUGGUUUCGGAGCGCAGCACAAGUCGCACUCUCUAUCAGCAAAGGUCUAGCAUCCAUUAAGCCUUUUUUCAACUUUUGACCUCGGAUCNGNUAGGGAUACCCGCUGAACUUAAGCAUAUCAAUAGCGAANGAAAAA
rnacentral:rRNA from 1 species